rnacentral:rRNA from 1 species
AUCCCACGCAGGCAGCAGGCGCGCAAAUUACCCAAUCCCGAUACGGGGAGGUAGUGACAAUAAAUACUGAUACAGGGCUCUUUUGGGUCUUGUAAUUGGAAUGAGUACAAUUUAAAUCCCUUAACGAGGAACAAUUGGAGGGCAAGUCUGGUGCCAGCAGCCGCGGUAAUUCCAGCUCCAAUAGCGUAUAUUAAAGUUGUUGCAGUUAAAAAGCUCGUAGUUGAAUUUUGGGUUUGGCUGCUCGGUCCGCCUAACCGCGUGCACUGAUGCGGCCGGAUCUUUCUUUCUGGCUAACCUCAUGCCCUUCACUGGGUGUGCUGGGGAUCCAGGACAUUUACUUUGAAAAAAUUAGAGUGUUCAAAGCAGGCCUUUGCUCGAAUACAUUAGCAUGGAAUAAUAAAAUAAGACGGGGGUGUCUAUUUUGUUGGUUUCUAGAGCCACCGUAAUGAUUAAUAGGGAUAGUCGGGGGCAUCAGUAUUCAAUUGUCAGAGGUGAAAUUCUUGGAUUUAUUGAAGACUAACUACUGCGAAAAAUUUGUUGCCAAAAAAA